rnacentral:rRNA from 1 species
UGCAGAAUCCCGUGAACCAUCGAGUCUUUGAACGCAAGUUGCGCCCUAAGCCACUAGGCCGAGGGCACGUCUGCCUGGGUGUCACGCAUCGUUGCCCCCCCCAAAUCCUAUGAUCUUGCGGCGGUGGGCGGAAAAUGGCCUCCCGUGUGCUUGUGCCCGCGGUUGGCCCAAAUAAGAGUUCUCGGUGACGCUUCCCGCGACAAUCGGUGGUGUUUGAAACAGAACCUAGUGAUCCUGUCGUGCGGUCGUGUUCUACCGUCCACGGACUCGUCGACCCUCGAGAGUGUGCUAAUGCGCGCUCGCAUCGCGACCCCAGGUCAGGCGGGAUUACCCGCUGAGUUUAA